UACAGAGGUGGCAAGCGUUGUUCGGAAUUACUGGGCGUAAAGCGUGCGCAGGCGGUCUUGCAAGACAGAUGUGAAAUCCCCGGGCUUAACCUGGGAACUGCAUUUGUGACUGCAAGGCUGGAGUACGGUAGAGGGGGAUGGAAUUCCGCGUGUAGCAGUGAAAUGCGUAGAUAUGCGGAGGAACACCGAUGGCGAAGGCAAUCCCCUGGACCUGUACUGACGCUCAUGCACGAAAGCGUGGGGAGCAAACAGG
rnacentral:rRNA from 1 species